UGCAUGAAGUCGGAAUCGCUAGUAAUCGCGGGUCAGCAUACCGCGGUGAAUACGUUCCCGGGCCUUGUACACACCGCCCGUCACACCACGAAAGUUGGUAACACCCGAAGCCGGUGGCCUAACCCUUAGGGGAGGGAGCUGUCGAAGGUGGGACUGAUGAUUGGGGUGAAGUCGUAACAAGGUAUC
rnacentral:rRNA from 1 species